UAAGAAGCAAUGAAUUUUUUCCU
rnacentral:piRNA from 1 species